rnacentral:rRNA from 1 species
GACGAACGCUGGCGGCGUGCCUAAUACAUGCAAGUCGAACGCUUCUUUCCUCCCGAGUGCUUGCACUCAAUUGGAAAGAGGAGUGGCGGACGGGUGAGUAACACGUGGGUAACCUACCCAUCAGAGGGGGAUGGCACUUGGAAACAGGUGCUAAUACCGCAUAACAGUUUAUGCCGCAUGGCAUAAGAGUGAAAGGCGCUUUCGGGUGUCGCUGAUGGAUGGACCCGCGGUGCAUUAGCUAGUUGGUGAGGUAACGGCUCACCAAGGCCACGAUGCAUAGCCGACCUGAGAGGGUGAUCGGCCACACUGGGACUGAGACACGGCCCAGACUCCUACGGGAGGCAGCAGUAGGGAAUCUUCGGCAAUGGACGAAAGUCUGACCGAGCAACGCCGCGUGAGUGAAGAAGGUUUUCGGAUCGUAAAACUCUGUUGUUAGAGAAGAACAAGGACGUUAGUAACUGAACGUCCCCUGACGGUAUCUAACCAGAAAGCCACGGCUAACUACGUG